rnacentral:rRNA from 1 species
UCCUUCGGGACUGAUUAUUUUGUGACUGAGUGGCGGACGGGUGAGUAACGCGUGGGUAACCUGCCUUGUACAGGGGGAUAACAGUUGGAAACGGCUGCUAAUACCGCAUAAGCGCACAGCAUCGCAUGAUGCAGUGUGAAAAACUCCGGUGGUAUAAGAUGGACCCGCGUUGGAUUAGCUAGUUGGUGAGGUAACGGCCCACCAAGGCGACGAUCCAUAGCCGACCUGAGAGGGUGACCGGCCACAUUGGGACUGAGACACGGUCCAAACUCCUACGGGAGGCAGCAGUGGGGAAUAUUGCACAAUGGGCGAAAGCCUGAUGCAGCGACGCCGCGUGAGCGGAGAAGUAUUUCGGUAUGUAAAGCUCUAUCAGCAGGGAAGAUAAUGACGGUACCUGACUAAGAAGCACCGGCUAAAUACGUGCCAGCAGCCGCGGUAAUACGUAUGGUGCAAGCGUUAUCCGGAUUUACUGGGUGUAAAGGGAGCGCAGGCGGUGCGGCAAGUCUGAUGUGAAAGCCCGGGGCUCAACCCCGGUACUGCAUUGGAAACUGUCGUACUAGAGUGUCGGAGGGGUAAGUGGAAUUCCUAGUGUAGCGGUGAAAUGCGUAGAUAUUAGGAGGA